rnacentral:rRNA from 1 species
CCUACGGGUGGCAGCAGUGGGGAAUAUUGCACAAUGGGGGCAACCCUGAUGCAGCGACGCCGCGUGAGUGAAGAAGUAAUUCGUUACGUAAAGCUCUAUCAGCAGGGAAGAAACACUGACCUUACGGUCAGCAGACGGUACCUGAGUAAGCAGCCCCGGCGAACUACGUGCCAGCAGCCGCGGUAAUACGUAGGGGGCAAGCGUUAUCCGGAUUUACUGGGUGGAAAGGGAGCGUAGACGGUGCGCCAAGUCUGGAGUGAAAUGCCGCAGCUUAACUGCGGAACUGCAUUGGAAACUGGCGAACUAGAGUGCGGGAGGGGUAAGCGGAAUUCCUAGUGUAGCGGUGAAAUGCGUAGAUAUUAGGAGGAACACCGGUGGCGAAGGCGGCUUACUGGACCGUAACUGACGUUGAGGCUCGAAAGCGUGGGGAGCAAACAGGAUUAGAUACCCUAGUAGUC